GUAAUUCCGGUGAAGAUGCCGGAUACCUGCGACAGGACGGAAAGACCCCAUGGAGCUUUACUGUAGCUUGACAUUGGGUCUUGGUACUACAUGUACAGGAUAGGUGGGAGGCUUUGAAACCAGGACGCCAGUUUUGGCGGAGCCAUCCUUGGGAUACCACCCUUGUAGUACUGGGACUCUAACCAUAGGCCAUGAAUCUGGUCUUGGGACACUGUCAGGUGGGCAGGUUGACUGGGGCGGUCGCCUCCCAAAAGGGAACGGAGGCGCUCAAAGGUUCUCUCAGUACGGUCGGAAAUCGUACGUAGAGUGUAAAGGCAAAAGAGAGCUUGAUUGCAAGACAUACAGGUCGAGCAAGGAUGAAAAUCGGACUUAGUGAUCCGGUGGUUCUGCGUGGAAGGGCCAUCGCUCAACGGAUAAAAGCUACCCUGGGGAUAACAGGCUUAUCUCCCCCAAGAGUCCACAUCGACGGGGAGGUUUGGCACCUCGAUGUCGGCUCAUCACAUCCUGGGGCUGUAGUAGGUCCCAAGGGUUGGGCUGUUCGCCCAUUAAAGUGGUACGCGAGCUGGGUUCAGAACGUCGUGAGACAGUUCGGUCCCUAUCCGUCGCAGGCGUAGGAAAUUUGAGAAG
rnacentral:rRNA from 1 species